CAGUGGCGUAGCCAGGGUUGAAACGAUGUGGAUGCGAAAUUGACGCCGAACGGAGCGAGGCGAAAAAAAAUUUUGGGACCAUAUUAUGCAGAAAAUUAUAUUUUUUUGGACAUUUUUCUAUUCAUGCAUGAGUUUUCCCCUAGAAUCCGACACUAGUUAGAUUUUUGUUUAAUUUCAAAAUACCAACCAAUAUGUAUUCAUUUUCCAUCAGAAUUUUAUUGUUUUCUCGAAAGUACCUUCAUUCAAUUCAAAAAUAUUCAAUGUUAAAGUUUCACACUUGACAUCACAUAAAUAUAACAAGUAUAGCGGCACCUCUGUUCAUGGAACUUCGGAAUAUAGGAACCGAAGUGAUCCCCUUUCUCGGAAUAUUAUAAGCCUCACAAUGGUUUUUUUUUAUUAAUUGUCUUAAAGCGUUGCAGUGCAUGGACAUGGAAAUACCGGGUGGCCUGCGUCCGUCUGGUCUUGUUAGCACUGUCAUGUAUACAAUUCCUGCCAUCUUUUUGUGAAACUUGUAUCAUCAGCAAUGUCUUUGACAAUUGCGAAAAUAAGUCCUGAUCAUUCAUUUUGAACCCAUUGGAAAUAUAAAUCAUAACUGAAAUCCAAUUGCAUUUGUUCUGAAGCUGUUAUUUCUCUCCAGAUAUUGUGUAUCUUCGAUAAAUAAAAUAAGUGUAAUGCUGGGACAUAGGUACUCUUUUCUUGAAAAUAAAAUUGAAAUAUUUGUAACUCAGUCUAGGUGGAGAAGGAAUUUAUUAGCAAAGAAAUGAUAACACUCCAUUAUACAAAUACAGUUUUUAUCACGUUGUCUUUCGCGUCACAGGAAAUGUAAUCAGGAUAUGAUGGUUUAUGAUUGUCAACUAGCUCAAUUUCAGACUAAACAUGCGGAUUUGUUAUAACCAACCUCUAUGCUUGUCGCAGCCGACGACAAGCUACGACGUAGACUUUUCACGAAAAAGUAGAGAACACUUUUUUUGCGAUUUAUCCAUCUUGUUUACAUACACUAAAUGAUCCUAUACCACGCAUACUGCUUCGUAAAUGAUUAGACGAUAUUUUCAAAUCCUCACCCUUGUAACAUUCGGAUACCACCGUUUGUAUCUGCUGUGAACACAUGCAAUCAUAUAUUUAUUAAAAAAAAAAUUAAAAAAAAUCCGAAAUGAUGUGGAUGCUUGAGCAUCUGAGCAUACAUGCAAGC
rnacentral:lncRNA from 1 species